AUGUUUCCAGAGCACAUACACUGAAAUUGGAAUAAUAUAGAGAGGACCAGCGUGGGUCUGUGCAAGGACAAUAUACAAACUCAUGAAGCAUUUCCUGUUUAA
ensembl:snRNA U6 U6 spliceosomal RNA